rnacentral:snRNA from 1 species
GAAUGUGAGGGCGACCUAGCUGUGACCCUGCCACACCAUUGAUUGCCAAGGCCCAUUAGACUGAUGUGGUGGCCCGGUGUCUUCUUUCUCUCUCACCUCCAUGUGUGUCCGUCAGGCUUCAAGUUGCCAGUUCAAACAAUAGAAAUGUCCUUCCUAGACGCAAGAGGAUUCAUCCUUGAUAGGUG